rnacentral:rRNA from 1 species
AUUGAACGCUGGCGGCAGGCCUAACACAUGCAAGUCGAACGAGUGGCGGACGGGUGAGUAAUGGCUGGGAAACUGCAUGAUGGAGGGGGAUAACUACUGGAAACGGUAGCUAAUACCGCAUACCAGCGGAUGUGCCCAGAUGGGAUUAGCUAGUAGGUGGGGUAAAGGCUCACCUAGGCGACGAGCCCUAGCUGUUCUGAGAGGAUGACCAGCCACACUGGAACUGAGACACGGUCCAGACUCCUACGGGAGGCAGCAGUGGGGAAUAUUGCGCAAUGGGCGCAAGCCUGAUGCAGCCAUGCCGCGUGUAUGAAGAAUGCCUUCGGGUUGUAAAGUACUUUCAGCGGGGAGGCGUUACCCGCAGAAGAAGCACCGGCUAACUCCGUGCCAGCAGCCGCGGUAAUUC